CGCGGGCGGCCUCGGGGCUGCGGUGCGUCCCUGCAUCUGCACCGCGCGUCCGUAUGCGGCCCUCUGCCUUCAUCCGUGUAUCUGUAUGCAGUCCUGUACCUCCUCUAUUCACCCCCGUACCUCCUCUGUUUAGCCCUCUAUAUUCCCUCCCGUGUCUGUAUUCCCCCCGUGUCGAUAUUCCUCCCGUGCCUUCUGCAUCCUCCCCUCUUUGCCCCUCCGUCUGCAAGCAGCCCUUUAUCUGUGUACCCACCCUGUGCGGCCCUUUUGCCCCUGUUCUCCCAUCCCUGUGUCACCCUCUGCCCCCCCACUUUCUGGAGGCACUCCGGGCACCGUCUCUUUCUGGAAUUUUCCAAAAUCCAGGAGGAACGGAACGCUCCCUCCUUCCCUGCCACCAGCAAUCCCCGCUGUCCCUGCCCAGCGCUGUGCUUCGCAGGUGUCACUGGCAGGGAGCUGACAGCAUAGACAGGCGGUGGGAGCCACAUCCCAUAGCGGCGAUGGCAGAGGUUUGCUUCGCCUCGCCUCGCUCCUGGCCCUGCUUUUCUCUGCCGGUCUGCGAGGCUUUGGUGCGGGCUGCAUGGGGCUGGCAGAACCGAGCAGUGUGACACACGGCCCAUCAGCUUUUGUCCCCUGGUCCGCCGACUCGGCGCGAUGCUGGUGGUGCAGCGGUGAGGAUGGGGUGUUGGAUUAACAACCCGCGGGCAGGCACUGCGCCUGUGUUCCAUGCCGAUUUGUGGCAGCCUCAGCUGCCGUCUCUCACGCUGAAACUGAGCUUCCAUCUCUCACGUUCUGCCGAACACCUAAAUGUCAUUUUCCUGAGUUAUCGUGGCCAUUUUGGUGAGCAUUCAGCCCUUUUGCAAGAAAACCUCUGAGAAUGUCAAGCAUGCGAGGUCAGGCGCCUGGGAAACAUGAAACCCGGGGUUACCUGUGCAGCCUCAGCGCUGCCCAUUUCGAGGUGCGGCUGCACCGGUGCUUCUCAUUGCCUGCCUGUGGAUUUCCCCAGGGAUGGUCUCCAGCUCCCCAGGAUCCCGGUAGGGAUCCUCCGACUCACCAGGGAGUCAACAGGGGGAGUGCUGUGAGCACAGGGAAGCACCACUUCUCAUCCCCUGCACUGCUCCCACUGCCUGGCACCGCACCCACUGAGGAGCAGGGCCAGCCCUUGCAGCUCUGAGACCACCCCAUCUUCCUGAAGUUUUAGCUGCCAGGUGUUAGAAAAGCAUUCAUUUUGCAGUGAGUGCAAUCCGAAAGCCGUUUGUUGGGUUUGGAGUGGUGUUUUCUCAGUGGGCACAGCGAAAAGCGCGUGUCUGGUUAGGAGGAUGACUUCUGGCAAGGUCUUGUACUUGUCCAAACCGUUGGGUGUAAUUGCUGUAAAUGUACAUUUAUCAGGGGGAAGGAGCAUUGUUGAGCCUUGCUGUUGAAGCAUCCUAGCUGGUUUGAUGGGAUUUAUAGAUUCUUGCUCCCAGCUCUUUUAUAACUAACACAGAAUUGCAGCUCCUUAUGCAUAUGAAGCCCUCGAGCAGCGCUGUCGUGAACCGAGUGCUGCAGGAGGGCUGCUGGCUGCUGCAGGAGCCCAGGAGCUGCUUGGGGGGCUGGGCUGUCCACUGUCAGGCCGACAGCAGUGAGUAGUGCUGCUGGUGGGUCAGGGCUGGACUCGGUGUCAGGAGCUCUUAUCGUGGAGGUUUAAAAGAGCUGCCUGAUUUUCUCAGGCUGCGGUCCUGCAUGCCUACAUUUGCCUAACUCCCUCUUAAGCAAACGGGAUUUCUCUCUUUUCUGAAAGUAAAUGUGGCUUAAAGUUUGCAAAUUUGAUACUUUCUCAAGCAUUCCUUCAGGCAAGAGCAGGAUAAUGAGAGAUUUUUGCCUGUGUCUGGAAGGCUCCUGGCUCCGAGGAGCAGCCCGCGGGUUGCUGCACUUCCUGCUACGUGUUGGCGUUUGCAGACGCUGUGCUGCGCUCUCAGGUUCGGUGGCUGUGAUGGCUGUGAGGGGGAAUGCAGAGCAUCACCGCUGUGUCCCCACUGGGGCUGCGACUGCAGAUGUUUGUUUGGCUGCUUGUAAAAUUUGUCUGUAGGUUUGGGUAGGUGUUUGGAAGCACAGGUGUCCGGGACUUAGCUGUGUAAACUGUGAGACUCCUGACAGAUGAUGAUAAAAAGGGAAAUGCUAUAGGUUUUGCUUUCUCUGCUGGACUGAGUAUUGUCUUGUAUUGCUGCUGUGUUUGGCAGGCCGAGCAUCACGGUGUUACGUUUCUUGCUUGUGUGAUUGCAGUGAGUGCUUUAACUUCUGUACCUGGGAAGUCAAAAAUCUAAAAGUAAGCUCAGCAAACCGCACAUCCUCAGAAAACAUUCCAAAAGAGAACGUCUCCUGGCAGAAAGUAGUCUUUAGCACUGAACUGAUUGCUCUGUCUUCAAAUGCCAGCUCUGUUAGCUGUCCGCAGGGAGGAAUCACCUAGCAGGUACCUAUGGAAAGCUCUUACAGCCUGAGCGAAGCCUUUGAAAUGGAAUGGGACGAGUGCUGCAAGAUGAGAAAGCCUUUACUCAUGUUAAAAACAGCAACAACAACAAAGAAAAAUAUCUAUGGACUUCUCUGUCAGUUAUGAAUCUCAUUGCUGAUUUCUCACCUUGAAUCACAUCUGGUGCACUGCAAAAUGACCUGUGCGCACUGUAGAGUCGCUCCCUCUCUGGAUGCCUGUUUGCAGUCUGUGCUUCUAUCUGUCAAGCACAGGUAUGUAGACUGGAAUACAACCCUCAAUAACAGUGACAUUUUUAGUUUUGCAAGACUUGUCUGAGGCACCUGUGGAAGUCGGGGUUACAGCUGAGGGAGAAGUUUCAUGCAGCUGUUGUUGUGUGAAGGAUGGCCCUGAUGGCAGCUCUCUGGUGCUGAAUAUGGACAGCUUGCAAUUAUACAUGAAAAACUCAUCUAAGCCUCAAGUUAAAAGUAGCUCUGUGUCUGAUGCUUGGUGGGAAGAUUGCAAUCUUGUCUCUUGCAUUAUGUUUAUUUCUAGUAAAAGUGAAAUCCUUGAAGGAGUGCUUCUUCAUUCAAAUAAAAAGGGGCUUUUGAAAUUAACACUCAACACGUAGAUGUGGAUUUAAAUUGUUUUGGGUGCAGUUUUUCUGUGUGCUUUAUGAGUUGAAUCUACUUGAGCAGGGACUCAAAAAGCUUUUGGAGACUUUUGAUCUGGGAUGACUUUCUCUCCUUCUGUGCCGGUUUUCUGGGGGCAUUAGGAUAUGUGCUUCUCUUGCAGGUAUGCUGUUUGGGGGCAGAGGGGACAAGUAUUUGAAAAACGUGAACAAUUUUCCCUGAGUGAAGGAUCAUUACAGCUUUAGAUCCCGCUGUUAUUAAUGACACUCCUGUCAGCUACGAUUUAAUUUUCUUAAUGUCAGAAUUCCUUCUUGCACAAUACGCUUUUCUACAUCUUGAUAUAACCUUUUCUCAGAGCCCUUGAGCUUCUUGAUGUCUGGAGACAUGGUGUGUCCAACAAGACUCUGUGGGAUGAGCAGGAGGAGUGACCAUUGCAGUGAAGUCAUACCAGUGUUCCCAUUGUAAAACAUCAUUUUCAGCUGCAUGGGGAUGUUGGAGUCGAUUUUAAGAUGGGGCUGAACGUAUGCUUUCAAUGAAUAAGGAGUUCUUUUCAUAGACUCACAGAAUGGCUUGGGUUGGAAGGGACCUCAAGGAUC